rnacentral:rRNA from 1 species
GACGAACGCUGGCGGCGCGCCUAACACAUGCAAGUCGAACGAGCGAGAGAGAGCUUGCUUUCUCGAGCGAGUGGCGAACGGGUGAGUAACGCGUGAGGAACCUGCCUCAAAGAGGGGGACAACAGUUGGAAACGACUGCUAAUACCGCAUAAGCCCACGACCCGGCAUCGGGUAGAGGGAAAAGGAGCAAUCCGCUUUGAGAUGGCCUCGCGUCCGAUUAGCUAGUUGGUGAGGUAACGGCCCACCAAGGCGACGAUCGGUAGCCGGACUGAGAGGUUGAACGGCCACAUUGGGACUGAGACACGGCCCAGACUCCUACGGGAGGCAGCAGUGGGGAAUAUUGCACAAUGGGGGAAACCCUGAUGCAGCGACGCCGCGUGGAGGAAGAAGGUCUUCGGAUUGUAAACUCCUGUUGUUGAGGAAGAUAAUGACGGUACUCAACAAGGAAGUGACGGCUAACUACGUGCCAGCAGCCGCGGUAAAACGUAGGUCACAAGCGUUGUCCGGAAUUACUGGGUGUAAAGGGAGCGCAGGCGGGAAGACAAGUUGGAAGUGAAAUCCAUGGGCUCAACCCAUGAACUGCUUUCAAAACUGUUUUUCUUGAGUAGUGCAGAGGUAGGCGGAAUUCCCGGUGUAGCGGUGGAAUGCGUAGAUAUCGGGAGGAACACCAGUGGCGAAGGCGGCCUACUGGGCACCAACUGACGCUGAGGCUCGAAAGUGUGGGUAGCAAACAGGAUUAGAUACCCUGGUAGUCCACACUGUAAACGAUGAUUACUAGGUGUUGGAGGAUUGACCCCUUCAGUGCCGCAGUUAACACAAUAAGUAAUCCACCUGGGGAGUACGACCGCAAGGUUGAAACUCAAAGGAAUUGACGGGGGCCCGCACAAGCAGUGGAGUAUGUGGUUUAAUUCGACGCAACGCGAAGAACCUUACCAAGUUCUUGACAUCCUGCGACGGUGCUGGAAACAGUACUUUCCUUCGGGACGCAGAGACAGGUGGUGCAUGGUUGUUCGUCAGCUCGUGUCGUGAGAUGUUGGGUUAAGUCCCGCAACGAGCGCAACCCUUAUGGUCAGUUACUACGCAAGAGGACUCUGGCCAGACUGCCGUUGACAAAACGGAGGAAGGUGGGGAUGACGUCAAAUCAUCAUGCCCUUUAUGACUUGGGCUACACACGUACUACAAUGGCGUUAAACAAAGAGAAGCAAGACCGCGAGGUGGAGCAAAACUCAGAAACAACGUCCCAGUUUCGGACUGCAGGCUGCAACUCGCCUGCACGAAGUCGGAAUUGCUAGUAAUCGCGGAUCAGCAUGCUGCGGUGAAAUACGUUUCCCGGGCCU